UUGUUCUUGAGGAAGCCUGCGGAUUGUCCAAAGGUUAAGGUUUCGGUAGUGUAACGAAGACUGUAAAUUUCGUUUCUUGCAAAGAUGGUUCUGAAGUAUUUCUUCGUGUUUCCCUUUGUUUUCUCUUAUAAGGCGAGGGAAGAUCCCUUUGCUUAAAUAAAAAUAGUGAAAGGAUAAAGCUAAUGCCAAUACUCAAAAGUUACCAUGAUUAAUCUUAGAGCCAAUCUUGUGAGAAAUUUCCACUCAUUUUUUGGAGAAAAGAACAGGUGAUUACCUAGAAAACUAACCACCAUUGGAACAAUGCUUAACGCUGGACUCACUGUAUAAGUAUGUGGCAGAACCACGCAUGGAGGAGGAGAAUAGCAGAAUGGAACAAAGGUUGUCCUGGGAAAUAAUUAUUUUCCAAAGAAGAGCAUUAUUUGUAAUGACCUAAAUGUCCAUUGACAGAUGAAUGAAUA